UAUUUAUUACAUGAUUUCAUCGGCCCGGACAGAAGAAGCACCAGCAGCAGCAGGCAGAGGCCGGGGGCCACCCAGCGACCGCUGAGGCGGCGCUGUCGGGCUACCUGCGGGACGUUGCAACGCCAUGCAGAGCCUGCGUGAGCUCACGGGCCUGGACCCGCGCGAUCUGACCUCGGAGGAGGACCUGGUGCUGGUCAGGUCCCACGAGCCGUGGCCGUCGCUCGAGCCUCUGCCCGACGGGGUCCGCGCCCACCGCGACGGGGCCUACCUGCGCCUCGGUCGAGACUCGCUGGUAGCGGGACUCAAGGCGGGAUACUUGGCCAAGAUCAGCGCCCAGGUCGCGGUGUUUGCGGGCUGUCCCCGCUUCUGCUGCUCGCGUCGCUUCCAGGAGGCAGUGACGCAGCUGUGCUGCCGCGCCACCACCGUGGUGCUGGUGCACAACCUCAACACCCUGUGGGACCUGCUCGCCCUGUUCCCGGCGCUGGACACCCUCUACCUGCUGCACGACCUCGCGGUGCACCAGCAGUGGACGCCACCCGCGGAGGUCGACGGGGUGCCGCACGCUCUAGCCAACGGCGAGUCGGGUGACCACGCUUCGCUGUCACCGGUACAUGCCAGUCUUCGGCUCCUGUACGGGGACUGCGACGCCCUCCGCCUGAACCACCUGUUCCUGGGCACCGGGGCGACCUUAAGCCUGGCACAACAAUGCGCCAACCUGAUCGAGCUGGAGGCCAACAUUGUGGAGCAGGCGACUGGCGCGUCACCAAAGCUUCCAGAGCUCGACGCGGAGGCCGGUGCCCCGCGCCCAUGGAGCAGCCUGGUGCUGGGCUGCGCGCUACCCACGCAAGAGGUGUUCGUGUCGGCGGACAUCGUUCUGGAGGCGGCGAAGCGCUGUCCCGUGCUCCGCCACCUGCAGAUCGUCGCGUCCAACGAGGCGGCCGUCUACAGCGCCGGCGCGUUCCAGGAGCUGCGGUCCCUGUCGGUGCUGUACCGCACCGCCGACGGCUCGCCGCCGAAGAAGUGUCGCUACCGCGCCGUCUCCGCCGUGCUGUCCAAGUUCUCGCUCGAGGCCCUCUGCCUGCGCGCCUUCUCGGCCGUCAGCUUGACCGGGCUGGCCACCAGCUGUGCCCGGCUACGCCGGCUGCAGCUGGUCGACUGCGAGCUGCGCGACCUCGAGCUGCUGGACGACGCGUUCCCACAGCUGGAGGAGCUGGAGGUGAGCUACGUGCCGCCCAAGGGUCUGGUGCGUCUGAUCGCCGCCUGCCCGAACCUGAGGUCGCUGUCGAUCCGGGACCGGGGCGCCUCGUUCGGCUUCCUGCGCGAGGCCUCGUGUCCCAAGGCGGGGCGCCUGGCCAGGCUCGAGCAGGUGGCGCUGAACGCCGACCGGUCGCUGAGGGAGAUGGGCCUCGAGGAGCGCGACCUGCGCAUGACCGUGAACGCGCUGCCUUCGCUGGCUCGCGUCGCCGUCGACUCGUUCGAGGCGCGCCUUUUCCUGGCGGAGUACGCGCCCCGUCUGGAGCUCGACUGGUCGACGUGCUCCGUCUGCGCGGCCAGGUUCCCGCAGUGGAACAGGGAGCACGUGGACCUGUGGGCGCAUGCGCAGAAGUCCCCGGACGGCUAGGACCUCUCGCGGAAGGACGCGGAACUAGAGCGGGAGAAAGGUCCGGACUGGGUCCUGCAGAAUCUGAAUUAUGCUACACCAACUGGACCAAGUUUCUGCCGUAUUGACAUUCUAUACAAGGAGGCAGCGGGGCCGCUGCCUGCGAUGUUUUCUACAAUAAAUCGGUUAUCAGAAGCGCC
rnacentral:misc_RNA from 1 species